GAUGAACGCUAGCUACAGGCUUAACACAUGCAAGUCGAGGGGCGGCAUGGUCUUAGCUUGCUAAGGCCGAUGGCGACCGGCGCACGGGUGAGUAACACGUAUCCAACCUGCCGUCUACUCUUGGACAGCCUUCUGAAAGGAAGAUUAAUACAAGAUGGCAUCAUGAGUCCGCAUGUUCACAUGAUUAAAGGUAUUCCGGUAGACGAUGGGGAUGCGUUCCAUUAGAUAGUAGGCGGGGUAACGGCCCACCUAGUCUUCGAUGGAUAGGGGUUCUGAGAGGAAGGUCCGCCAAAUGGGAACUGAGACACGGUCCAAACUGGUAGGGGAGGCGGCAGUGAGGAAGAUUGGUGAAUGGGCGAGAGCCUGAACCAGCCAAGUAGCGUGAAGGAUGACUGCCCUAUGGGUUGUAAACUUCUUUUAUAAAGGAAUAAAGUCGGGUAUGUAUGCCCGUUUGCAUGUACUUUAUGAAUAAGGAUCGGCUAACUCCGUGCCAGCCGCCGCCGUAAGAC
rnacentral:rRNA from 1 species